GCAUGCCAGGGCCUGACCCUGAGGAGGUGGUUGGAUCCUGGGAACUUGGAAAACAAGAAAGGAGACUUCAAAGAGAAGAAACAGCCACAUGACAAGAAUGACCCAACUGAUGGACAAUAAGCUGCCGAAUGAGUUAACCUUGAUGAUCCGCCAGGUCCAAGACUUAUAAUUCUACAUGGCCUCUGUCUCCUCUUUGCAAGCUGAUCACGAUGCAGAAUGACUGACGCAGCACCCAUGAACUUCCAGAUCACAAGCAUGCUCUGUUCUCCUUCCUACCUGGGCUGGGGUGACAGUUGUACAGCUGUGCACCAUCUGAGUGCCACCAUCUAGUGAUAAGUCCAUGAGUGUGGAUACUAGGGGAAGACAUGGGUUGCAGAUUGGCCAGGUCUAAGGCGCUGACAAGAAACAUUACAAGAGCUUUAGAUUUAACUUUAAAAGCUUCUAUUCCUUUCAUUGUCAGACUGUGAAGCCCACAGCUGCACAUCAUCAGGCACCAACAUGCAGGGGGCCAUUUCCUUGUUUGCACAGGAAGCUCCUGCAUACUCUGUAUUGCUCUAGAGUCACACCACUGAGCCGGCCAAGGUCUCGACUCUGGCCCUGACACGUGGCUGGCUUUGACUUUGCUUUCUGAGUUCAGCUCAUUUCCUGGGUCAUCUCCCCAGUAAAGACAGCACUGCCUCAUCAAGGCAGGUGCUCAUCUGGUCAUGCUCAAAGUCCCUCGAUGCCCUAUGACUGGUCAGCGGUCUCAGGGGAUGAGAUGUGUGGGUGUCAGUUGGCUUCCUCGUGUCCCAGUGCUGUCCCCUUCACCUCUCUUUAUCCCACUUUCUAAUGUUCACCCUCUCUUCUCCAUUAGUAAACUCCCAAGACUUCUUUAAGGUCGACCUUAAACACCCUUCUCUGGGAUCCUUCCCAAAACCCCAGGCAGAACUCACUGCUUCUACCUCUACCCUUGGUCCGUGAUUUUAUUUCAUUGUAGAUUAUAGUUAAUUGCUUACCUAUCUUCCUUUCUUUUCUUUUCUUUUCUUUUUUUUUUUUUUUUUUGAGAUGGAGUUUCACUCUUGUCGCCCAGGCUGGAGUGCAAUGGCGAUCUUGGCUCGCUGCAACCUCCACCUCCCGGGCUCAAGCGAGUCUCCUGCCUCAGCCUCCCAACUAGCUGGGAUUACAGGCGCCCGCCACCACACCUGGCUAAUUUUUGUAUUUUUAGUAGAGAUGGGGUUUCACCACGUUGGCCAGGCUGGUCUCAAACUCCUGACCUCAGGUGAUCCACACGCCUUGGCCUCUUGAAGUGCUGGGAUUAAGGCAUGAGCCACCAUGCCUGGCCUCUUUCUCACUUAAAAAAUCCUUGGAGAAAAAAAAAGCCAUCUUUUACUAAUUCCCUGAGCCUUGUGUAAAUAUAAGUGUAAUAAGUAUUUUUCCUUAUGUCAUUUACAAAUUCAUUUAAAAAGAAAUACGGUGUAGGUGGAAAGCCCAAACUAGGGAAAUAUCUGGUUUCCAAGAGAUCAUAAGCUAUCCACGUCAAAACUUCUGGUAAAAUUGCCUGUGGAAAGAGAAAUUU
rnacentral:lncRNA from 1 species